rnacentral:rRNA from 1 species
CAAGGGCAACCGGCGAACGGGUGCGUAACACGUGAGCAACCUGCCUUAGUGUGGGGGAUAGCCGGCCCAACGGCCGGGUAAUACCGCAUACGAUUCUUGAGAGGAGUCUCUUGGGAAGGAAACCUUUGGGGCACUGAGAGGGGCUCGCGGCCUAUCAGCUAGUUGGCGGGGUAAUGGCCCACCAAGGCGACGACGGGUAGCUGGUCUGAGAGGAUGGCCAGCCACAUUGGGACUGAAGAGACGGCCCAGACUCCUACGGGAGGCAGCAGUGGGGAAUCUUGCGCAAUGGCCGAAAGGCUGACGCAGCGACGCCGCGUGUGGGAUGACGCCUUUCGGGGUGUAAACCACUUUUGCCCGGGACGAAACCUGGUUUUCGAGUCAGUUGACGGUACCGGGUGAGGAAGCACCGGCUAACUCCGUGCCAGCAGCCGCGGUAAUACAGAGGGUGCGAGCGUUGUCCGGAAUCGCUGGGCGUAAAGGGCGCGUAGGCGGCUUGGUAAGGUUGCGGUGAAAGCCCGGGGCUCAACCCCGGGUCGGCCGUGGCAACUUGCUGGCUGGAGCACUGUAGAGGCAGGUGGAAUUCCGGGUGUAGCGGUGGAAUGCGUAGAGAUCCGGAAGAACACCGGUGGCGAAGGCGGCCUGCUGGGCAGUAGCUGACGCUGAGGCGCGACAGCGUGGGGAGCAAACGGGAUUAGAUACCCUGGUAGUCCACGCCGUAAACGAUGGGCACUAGGUGCUUGGGGGAGCGACCCUCCGAGUGCCGGCGCUAACGCAUUAAGUGCCCCGCCUGGGGAGUACGGCCGCAAGGCUGAAACUCAAAGGAAUUGACGG